rnacentral:rRNA from 1 species
AUUGAACGCUGGCGGCAGGCCUAACACAUGCAAGUCGAACGAGUGGCGGACGGGUGAGUAAUGUCUGGGAAACUGCCUGAUGGCGGGGGAUAACUACUGGAAACGGUAGCUAAUACCGCAUACCAUCAUAUGGUCCCAGAUGGGAUUAGCUUGUUGGUGGGGUAACGGCUCACCAAGGCGACGAUCCCUAGCUGGUCUGAGAGGAUGACCAGCAACACUGGAACUGAGACACGGUCCAGACUCCUACGGGAGGCAACAGUGGGGAAUAUUGCACAAUGGGCGCAAGCCUGAUGCAGCAAUGCCGCGUGUAUGAAGAAGGCCUUCGGGUUGUAAAGUACUUUCAGCGGGGAGGCGGGACCCGCAGAGGAAGCACCGGCUAACUCCGUGCCAGCAGCCGAGGUAAUUC